rnacentral:rRNA from 1 species
GGACGGGUGAGUAACACGUGGGUAACCUGCCCUCCAUUGGGGGAUAACAUUUGGAAACAGAUGCUAAUACCGCAUAGAUCCAAGAACCGCAUGGUUCUUGGCUGAAAGAUGGCCUAAGCUAUCGCUUUUGGAUGGACCCGCGGCGUAUUAGCUAGUUGGUGAGGUAACGGCUCACCAAGGCGAUGAUACAUAGCCGAACUGAGAGGUUGAUCGGCCACAUUGGGACUGAGACACGGCCCAAACUCCUACGGGAGGCAGCAGUAGGGAAUCUUCCACAAUGGACGCAAGUCUGAUGGAGCAACGCCGCGUGAGUGAAGAAGGCUUUCGGGUCGUAAAACUCUGUUGUUAGAGAAGAAUGGUCGGCAGAGUAACUGUUGUCGGCGUGACGGUAUCCAACCAGAAAGCCACGGCUAACUACGUGCCAGCAGCCGCGGUAAUACGUAGGUGGCAAGCGUUAUCCGGAUUUAUUGGGCGUAAAGCGAGCGCAGGCGGUUUUUUAAGUCUGAUGUGAAAGCCCUCGGCUUAACCGAGGAAGCGCAUCGGAAACUGGGAAACUUGAGUGCAGAAGAGGACAGUGGAACUCCAUGUGUAGCGGUGAAAUGCGUAGAUAUAUGGAAGAACACCAGUGGCGAAGGCGGCUGUCUGGUCUGUAACUGACGCUGAGGCUCGAAAGCAUGGGUAGCGAACAGG